rnacentral:rRNA from 1 species
UACGGAGGGGGCUAGCGUUGUUCGGAAUUACUGGGCGUAAAGCGAACGUAGGCGGCUUUGCAAGUUAGAGGUGAAAGCCCGGGGCUCAACUCCGGAACUGCCUUUAAAACUGCAUCGCUAGAAUUGUGGAGAGGUAAGUGGAAUUCCGAGUGUAGAGGUGAAAUUCGUAGAUAUUCGGAAGAACACCAGUGGCGAAGGCGACUUACUGGACACAUAUUGACGCUGAGGUGCGAAAGCGUGGGGAGCAAACAGG